GGUCUUUCCUCCUCCUCCUCCUUAUUCUUCUGUUCUUAACGAUCCAUAACUUCAUCUUCUUCAGCAACACCACCAGAACCAAAUCACAUCAUCACAAUCACAGCGAUAUCAACACCUCUCUAUCACAGCGACAUCGACACUCUCUGUCACAACGACCACGACCUUCUUCUUCAUUUCUUCUUCAAUUAUUUCAAAAGCUAACAUCAAGUCAACAACAGGGGUAAUGAGUUGAGGUUGUUGUUAAUUCAUGGAUGUAAACUUAGAAUUAGAAGAUAUUCCUAUUGAAUUGUAAACAGGGAAAGUUUGAUGUUGUAGAUUUAAUGGUGAUGCGGAGAAGAAGAAGAUGAAUCAGGGUUUUGGUGGAUGGUAUGUGCUGCCGAUCUGAGAUUCAGAUGGAGAUAGUGAUGCACUUGAAUUGAAUCAGGGUUUUGGUGGAUGGUAUGUGCUGCCGAUCUUAAAUCAAAAGCACAAGAAGAAGACAUUUUAAAGAGCAAAAAGGGGAUCUAGGGAAGGCUGAGUUGCUGUUGAUGGACUCAUUCUGAUGGUCUUUGUUCAAUCUCUCCUGUGUCAUUCUGUAUCUCUUUUGUCCGGCUACCUCUUUUUCUGAUUGAAAUUUCUUUAUUGGUAUUAAACAUGAACUUGUAUCUUGUGGUAGCUAGCUCAAAUAGUUAGGGUCAAAUUUGGGCAAGUAUGAGAUGAUAUUGUUGAACGCUUGAAACUGAUUAGAUGUAUGUUAGGAUCUGAAUGUGUGAAAUGCAGUGAAGAACUGAAGAAAAAUAGACCAAAAUACGGCCUGGAGUUUCCUUUGUA